rnacentral:rRNA from 1 species
AGUGAACGCUGGCGGUAGGCCUAACACAUGCAAGUCGAACGGCAGCACAGUAAGAGCUUGCUCUUACGGGUGGCGAGUGGCGGACGGGUGAGGAAUACAUCGGAAUCUACUUUUUCGUGGGGGAUAACGUAGGGAAACUUACGCUACUACCGCAUACGACCUACGGGUGAAAGCAGGGGAUCUUCGGACCUUGCGCGAUUGAAUGAGCCGAUGUCGGAUUAGCUAGUUGGCGGGGUAAAGGCCCACCAAGGCGACGAUCCGUAGCUGGUCUGAGAGGAUGAUCAGCCACACUGGAACUGAGACACGGUCCAGACUCCUACGGGAGGCAGCAGUGGGGAAUAUUGGACAAUGGGCGCAAGCCUGAUCCAGCCAUACCGCGUGGGUGAAGAAGGCCUUCGGGUUGUAAAGCCCUUUUGCUGGGAAAGAAAAGCAGCAGGUGAAUACCCCGCUGUUCUGACGGUACCCAAAGAAUAAGCACCGGCUAACUUCGUG